UACGUAGGGUGCAAGCGUUGUCCGGAAUUAUUGGGCGUAAAGGGCUCGUAGGCGGUUUGUCGCGUCGGGAGUGAAAACCCAGGGCUUAACUCUGGGCUUGCUUUCGAUACGGGCAGACUAGAGGCAUGCAGGGGAGAACGGAAUUCCUGGUGUAGCGGUGAAAUGCGCAGAUAUCAGGAGGAACACCGGUGGCGAAGGCGGUUCUCUGGGCAUGUCCUGACGCUGAGGAGCGAAAGUGUGGGGAGCGAACAGG
rnacentral:rRNA from 1 species